CAUGCAAGUCGAGCGCACCUUCGGGUGAGCGGCGGACGGGUUAGUAACGCGUGGGAACGUACCCUUUUCUACGGAAUAGCCUUUGGAAACGAAGAGUAAUACCGUAUACGCCCUUUGGGGGAAAGAUUUAUCGGAGAAGGAUCGGCCCGCGUUAGAUUAGAUAGUCGGUGGGGUAACGGCCUACCAAGUCUACGAUCUAUAGCUGGUUUUAGAGGAUGAUCAGCAACACUGGGACUGAGACACGGCCCAGACUCCUACGGGAGGCAGCAGUGGGGAAUCUUAGACAAUGGGCGCAAGCCUGAUCUAGCCAUGCCGCGUGAGUGAUGAAGGCCUUAGGGUCGUAAAGCUCUUUCGCCUGUGAUGAUAAUGACAGUAGCAGGUAAAGAAACCCCGGCUAACUCCGUGCCAGCAGCCGCGGUAAUACGGAGGGGGUUAGCGUUGUUCGGAAUUACUGGGCGUAAAGCGCACGUAGGCGGAUUGGAAAGUUGGGGGUGAAAUCCCGGGGCUCAACCCCGGAACUGCCUCCAAAACUAUCAGUCUAGAGUUCGAGAGAGGUGAGUGGAAUUCCAAGUGUAGAGGUGAAAUUCGUAGAUAUUUGGAGGAACACCAGUGGCGAAGGCGGCUCACUGGCUCGAUACUGACG
rnacentral:rRNA from 1 species